AGGAUUCCCCUAGUAACUGCGAGUGAAGCGGGAAAAGCUCAAAUUUAAAAUCUGGCAGUCUUUGAUUGUCCGAGUUGUAAUUUAGAGAAGUGCUGCCUGCGCCGGACUGUGUACAAGUCUCCUGGAAUGGAGCAUCAUGGAGGGUGAGAAUCCCGUAUAUGACACAGACUACCGGGGCUCAAGGUACACUCUCAAAGAGUCGAGUUGUUUGGGAAUGCAGCUCAAAAUGGGUGGUAAAUUCCAUCUAAAGCUAAAUAUUGGCGAGAAACCGAUAGCGAACAAGUACCGUGAGGGAAAGAUGAAAAGAACUUUGGAAAGAGAGUUAAACAGUACGUGAAAUUGUUGAAAGGGAAACGCUUAAAGUCAGUCGCAUUGCUAGAAAUCACACUUGCUUUGGCUUGUGGCAUUUUUCUUAGUAAUGGGUCAGCAUCGAGUUUUGAUUGUUGGAAAAGGGUUGAAGGAGAUGUGGCAUCCUUGGAUGUGUUAUAGCCUUCAAUCACAUACAAUGGUUGAGACUGAGGAACUCGGCACUUGUUGCUUAGGAUGCUGGCAUAG
rnacentral:rRNA from 1 species